rnacentral:lncRNA from 13 species
AGGAUUACUUAUCUGGGAAAAAAAAUAAGCAAUAACUGGAGGAAGAAAAGGAUGAAGAGGCCUAGAGGACAGUCAACCAAGUGUUCAGCUACAAAAUGCUUAUGAGAAGCAGAAAGAACUUUCAGAGCUAUUCAUCCUCAUCAUAUUUAUCUGAGGGACAGUGAAGGCACUUCAUAUACAAUGUCUCAUCCAGUUGGAGAACGCUUCCAAAUGUUUUGGGGUACAUGUGAAGAACAUGCAAGAUUAUUGCACAGGUACACGCAUGGCAGUAUGAUUUGUUGCCUUCCUCCCCAUCAUCUAUAUCUGGCAUUUCUCCCCAUGCUAUCUUUUCCCAACUCCCCACCCCCCACUGUCGCUCCCCUAUUUCCACCCAACAGACCCCAGUGUGUGAUGCUCCCCUCCCUGUGUCCAUGUGUUCUCAUUGUUCAACACGAGCCUAUGAGUGAGAACAUGUGGUGUUUGAUUUUCUAUUCUUGUGUCAGUUUGCUGAGAAUGGUGGUUUCCAGGUUCAUCCAUGUCCCUACAAAGGACACGAACUCAUUGUUUUUGAUGGCUGCAUAA